GAGCUCAAAUUUGAAAUCUGGUAGCCUUCGGUUGCCCGAGUUGUAAUCUAGAGAAGUGUUUUCCGUGCCGGCCCAUGUACAAGUCCCUUGGAACAGGGCGUCAUAGAGGGUGAGAAUCCCGUCCUUGACAUGGACCCCCGGUGCUUUGUGAUACACUUUCAACGAGUCGAGUUGUUUGGGAAUGCAGCUCAAAAUGGGUGGUGAAUUCCAUCUAAAGCUAAAUAUUGGCGAGAGACCGAUAGCGAACAAGUACCGUGAGGGAAAGAUGAAAAGCACUUUGGAAAGAGAGUUAAACAGUACGUGAAAUUGUUGAAAGGGAAACGAUUGAAGUCAGUCAUGCUCUUGGGACUUACCUCCCUUGAGUGGGGUCAACAUCAGUUUUGAUCGAUGGAUAAAGGCACGGGGAAGGUAGCACUCUCGGGUGAACUUAUAGCCUCGCGUCAUAUACAUUGAUUGGGACUGAGGAACGCAGCAUGCCUUAUGGCCGGGAUUCGUCCACGUACAUGCUUAGGAUGUUGACAUAAUGGCUUUAAACGACCCGUCUU
rnacentral:rRNA from 1 species